GCCGGCUCACGUAGGUUCGUUGGCGUGGUCUUGUUACGCCUCGCUGGAUCGUGUUCAGUCAUGCCGUCCUUGCGCGGCGUGAUUGUCGGUGAGUCAGGUUAAAUUCUUAAAUAGGUCGCGCCUGCGCCUAAUUGAGUCUAUAAAAGCCUGCACAUUCAGUUUUGCUAGCAUCAAUGCAGUGCGGCUGGCGUGAGCUGUCUCCACGAUGCGCUUCGAGCGUGUCGAUUUCGCCGUUCUUUAUGUUGGCGUUAACGACCUUGAAAGCAACAUGGAUCCACAAGAAAUGUGCGACAACAUCAAGGCCUUGAUUGUUCAACGAGACGGCCCCCGUCGUGCUGGUUUUCAAGGUGCUCCCUCGCUGCCUAGAAGAUGCUGAUGCGGAAUAGAAAAUGCAAAAACGUCGCUUGCUCAACCGCAAAUUGACGGCUACGCUGAAGCGCAUGCCGUGUCUGCGGAAUUUGAACCCCGAGCUUUCCAGAGUUCCUUGGAAAAUCCUCCCAUGCACCUGCCAUGUACAUUGCCCUCCUCGAUGUGGCGUGCAAGAUGGCAGCAGCAGCUGUGGGAACAGUUGAAGAGGCGAAGAAAGGUCCACUUUAUAAUAGGUUGUAUGUAAAUAAAACUGAUCGACCUCAA